UACGAAGGGGGCUAGCGUUGCUCGGAAUUACUGGGCGUAAAGGGAGCGUAGGCGGGUUAUCAAGUUGGAGGUGAAAGCCCAGGGCUCAACCUUGGAAUUGCCUUUAAGACUGCAUCGCUUGAACAUCGGAGAGGUAAGUGGAAUUCCGAGUGUAGAGGUGAAAUUCGUAGAUAUUCGGAAGAACACCAGUGGCGAAGGCGGCUCACUGGCCCGGUACUGACGCUGAGAUACGAAAGCGUGGGGAGCAAACAGG
rnacentral:rRNA from 1 species